rnacentral:rRNA from 1 species
UACGAGGGGAGCAAGCGUUAUUCGGAUUUACUGGGCGUAAAGCGCGCGUAGGCGGUUUGUUAAGUCGAUCGUUAAAGACCCUUGCUUAACGAGGGAGCGGCGACUGAUACUGGCAGACUAGAGAAUGGAAGAGAGAAGUGGAAUUCUUGGAGUAGCGGUAAAAUGCGUAGAUCUCAAGAGGAACACCAAUGGCGAAGGCAGCUUCUUGGUCCAUUUCUGACGCUGAGGUGCGAAAGCGUGGGGAGCGAACAGG